rnacentral:rRNA from 1 species
GACGAACGCUGGCGGCGUGCUUAACACAUGCAAGCCGAGCGGUAAGGCCCUUUCGGGGGUACACGAGCGGCGAACGGGUGAGUAACACGUGGGUGACCUGCCCUUAGCUCUGGGAUAAGCCUGGGAAACUGGGUCUAAUACCGGAUAUGACUCCAUGACGCAUGUUGUGGGGUGGAAAGCCUUGUGCGGCUAGGGAUGGGCCCGCGGCCUAUCAGCUUGUUGGUGGGGUGANGGCCUACCAAGGCGACGACGGGUAGCCGGCCUGAGAGGGCGACCGGCCACACUGGGACUGAGACACGGCCCAGACUCCUACGGGAGGCAGCAGUGGGGAAUCUUGCGCAAUGGGCGAAAGCCUGACGCAGCGACGCCGCGUGGGGA